CAGGCCAAAUAUGCUAGUGGGGAAGAGAAAAACAAAAGUCAAUGAAGUAGGCAGAAGCUGGAGGACGGAGAGCCAUGUUUGGAGCUGAGGACGCACUCUCAGCUACCCGCUCUUCUUUUGAGCAUGAUGGUAUCCUGCCCACGCUCCCAUCGCCAAAGUUCACGCUCACCCACAAGAGGAUGCAAACACCAAACAAACACCAGGAAAACCUCCAGCACAAAGAAGCCCAACAGUCACACUGGGACAGCACACUGUAUCAACAUGCAAGCACCAGAUGCCAAAACCAAAGAAAGCAGAGACAGGAGAAAGAACCCAGGGAGGAGCAUUGGCUAGCAGACUGCUUUACCACGCGCAACAAGCAAAACAAGUCUCUGAUCAUGCAAACUGCUUCCCUGCCAUUUGCUCACAGGGAGCAAUUUCUAGAAGUGCAACAGAGGCUAUCCAGGUAAGGACAAGGAAUAAUAAGCUCUCAGUUCAAGCCAGCAUGUGCAGCAGGACAACAAGGGUCACUUAACUGGCCAAGACACCAAGCACCUGGCAUCUUGGGCUCAAGCUUUUCUGUAGUUUCAAAGAGACUGCAAUGUUAAUGUUCAAAACAUCAUCCAAAGAGAACCUCCAAGCCUGGCCCAGAAGAACAGCUCAAGUUUCACCAGGAAGUGAGCAGGAAGAGAGUCCCAGCCACCCAUGCUUUCCCAGGGUAACAGCACUGACCAAAAGCUUUCCAAGAGCUUCCUGCUCGGAAGCAGCCAAGACAAAUCCCCCUCGGUGGGUCAGAAUUACCACUGCAUUAGUCUUGCUUGCAACCAAGCAAGCACAGGGCAGAAAGCACAGCUGGAAGCCAUCUGGACAGGAGUGGACAGGCCCCUCUGUGCCUACAGACACCUACGAGCCUUCCCCACCCCUUAUGACAUCACUCCCACUCUCCCAACAGCAACAGGCACCAAGGUGAACAGGCAAAAAGCACAGUCACACUAUGGCUUUCCAUCUUCUCAGCCACAGGGGUGGGAGGUCUGGAGAGGGCAGCAGCUUGGUCUCUUUCUGCACAACUCCUCUUUGCUGACCAAGGCUGGACCCUGUGUGCCACCACGCCCCCAGGCAGCCUGCUCAGAGAGGACACUCACAGCUUCUCUGACAUCCCCAGGUAUUGAUAGACAGCACCAGGAUUGCCAACCCCCUUCAUCUUGGCCUUCGGCAGCUCCUUGAACUAACACCAGGGCAACCUGGAGGCUGCGUAGGUCGCUGCAUCACAGGACACCAGCCCAGAGUAGUGCUCCAUUAGCCGGGCUGACAGAUUCACCUUCUGGCCCAUGACUGCCACAGAGAGAGAGAGAGAGAGCACACAUUGACAUACCCAGGAAACCAACCCACGCCACCCUUCCAGGCUGACGGCUGCAUCACCUCCACACUCUGCCUCGUCCUUUCACAGACGCAGCCCAGGCACCCGCUCCACAGACAAACACCUCGUACCUGUGUAUUUGUGCCUCGUGUGGUGGCCAAUGACUCUGCAGAACACCGUCCCGCUGGUGACCCCCCACAGACACCACCCUGACACGCAGGCAGAGCAGCAGGGACUCAGCAGCGCCUGUGCGCAGUGCUGCCUGCCCACCUCCAUCCCUUCCCCAUCUCCCCGUGCACCACCAGCCACCCCGGCAGCGCAGGCCUCGGGGACCAG
ensembl:lncRNA